UACGCUGGCGGCACGCCUAACACAUGCAAGUCGAACGAAGUAGCAAUACUUAGUGGCAGACGGGUGAGUAACAUGUAGGUAUCUGCCCUUUGGCCUGGAAUAACACGAGGAAACUUGUGCUAAUACCGGAUAAGUCUUUACAGAGAAAGCUUUAUGCACCAUUGGAUGAGCCUGCACUUGAUUAGUUUGUUGGUAGGGUAAUGGCCUACCAAGACUGUGAUCAAUAGCUGAUUUGAGAGGAUGAUCAGCCACAUUGGGACUGAGACACGGCCCAAACUCCUACGGGAGGCAGCAGUGGGGAAUCUUGCACAAUGGAGGAAACUCUGAUGCAGCGAUGCCGCGUGAGUGAAGAAGGCCUUUGGGUUGUAAAGCUCUUUCGUCGGGGAAGAAAAUGACUGUACCCGAAUAAGAAGGUCCGGC
rnacentral:rRNA from 1 species